GACGAACGCUGGCGGCGUGCCUAAUACAUGCAAGUAGAACGCUGAAGGAGGAGCUUGCUUCUCUGGAUGAGUUGCGAACGGGUGAGUAACGCGUAGGUAACCUGCCUGGUAGCGGGGGAUAACUAUUGGAAACGAUAGCUAAUACCGCAUAAGAGUAGAUGUUGCAUGACAUUUGCUUAAAAGGUGCAAUUGCAUCACUACCAGAUGGACCUGCGUUGUAUUAGCUAGUUGGUGGGGUAACGGCUCACCAAGGCGACGAUACAUAGCCGACCUGAGAGGGUGAUCGGCCACACUGGGACUGAGACACGGCCCAGACUCCUACGAGAGGCAGCAGUAGGGAAUCUUCGGCAAUGGACGGAAGUCUGACCGAGCAACGCCGCGUGAGUGAAGAAGGUUUUCGGAUCGUAAAGCUCUGUUGUAAGAGAAGAACGAGUGUGAGAGUGGAAAGUUCACACUGUGACGGUAUCUUACCAGAAAGGGACGGCUAACUACGUG
rnacentral:rRNA from 1 species